GACGAACGCUGGCGGCGUGCUUAACACAUGCGAGUCGAACGGAAAGGCCCUGCUCUUGUGGGGUGCUCGAUUGGCGAACGGGUGAGUAACACGUGUGUAACCUGCCCUUGACUUUGGGAUAACUUCAGGAAACUGGGGCUAAUACCGGAUAGGAGCUCCUGCUGCAUGGUGGGGGUUGGAAAGUUUCGGCGGUUGGGGAUAGACUCGCGGGUUAUCAGCUUGUUGGUGGGGUAGUGGCUUACCAAGGCUUUGACGGGUAGGCGGCCUGAGAGGGUGACCGGGCACAUUGGGCCUGAGGUACGGCCCAGACUCCUACGGGAGGCAGCAGUGGGGAGUAUUGCACAGUGGGCGGAAGCCUGAUGCAGCAACGCCGCGUGCGGGAUGCCGGCCUUCGGGUUGUGAACCGCUUUCGCCUGUGACGAAGCGUGAGUGACGGUAAUGGGUAAAGAAGCACCGGCUAACUACGUG
rnacentral:rRNA from 1 species